GACGAACGCUGGCGGCGUGCCUAACACAUGCAAGUCGAGCGGAGUCGAUCGACGGAAGCCUUCGGGCGGAAGAUGGUUGACUUAGCGGCGGGAUGGGUGAGUAACGCGUGGGCAACCUGCCUCGAAGACCGGGAUAACAGCCCGAAAGGGCUGCUAAUACCGGAUGUGGUCAAGGAUCCGCAUGGAUUUUUGAUUAAAGGGGAAACCCGUUUCGAGAUGGGCCCGCGUCCUAUCAGCUAGUUGGUGAGGUAAAAGCUCACCAAGGCGACGACGGGUAGCCGGCCUGAGAGGGUGACCGGCCACACUGGAACUGAGACACGGUCCAGACUCCUACGGGGGGCAGCAGUGGGGAAUCUUCCACAAUGGGCGAAAGCCUGAUGGAGCGACGCCGCGUGAGCGAAGAAGGCCUUCGGGUUGUAAAGCUCUGUCUGGAGGGACGAAGGAAGUGACGGUACCUCCGGAGGAAGCCACGGCUAACUACGUG
rnacentral:rRNA from 1 species